rnacentral:lncRNA from 1 species
UAUGCCACAGCCACAGCCACCACUGGAUCGGAGCAGCUCACCACCACUCACUUGGGGCAACACCAGAUCCUUAACCCUCUGAGUGAGGCCAGGGAUCAAACCCACAUCCCCAUGAAUACUGAGGUUCGCUUCCACUGAGCCACAACAGGCACUCCUAGGAGAACAGUUUUGUCAAUGGCCCUGUUAGCCAACUCUUGGUCAGUUCACCGUCAGGAGUGACGGUGACAUCUGGAAUUGGGGCUUUUUUUUUUUUUUUUUUUACCUCUUGGUCUCAUGAACCAGCCAGAGUUCUUCAUUUCCGAGCUGGGCGUGUGCCCACCAUCAUCUGCUCCUUCGGACUCCUCCAUGUAAUCCUAGGGGACAGGCUUGUCAAGGUCCACUUGACUGAAAAAUAAAAAGAAUACUUGGGCUAGAAAAGGAGCGGUUUGAGGGAAGGCCUGUGGAAGGGUCUUUAGUGAGCAGGAAGGUGUGCGCAUGCGCACAUGCCGCCAGGCUUUGGGCGGCGUGGGAGCCAGGGGUCCCGCCAAGGGCCACAGAAAGAGGCCCAGGGAGCCAGCGAGCGAGAGAGGCUGAUGGUGGGGCCUGUAGGUGGAAUCCUGGUCUCCAAGGCAACAAGCACGACGGGGAAGCUCAGUUUUUCAGUAAUCAGCACCAGAGCCUCCUCUUAG